rnacentral:rRNA from 1 species
UACAGAGGUCUCAAGCGUUGUUCGGAUUCAUUGGGCGUAAAGGGCGCGUAGGCGGGCCGCCGCGUCCGGGGUGAAAUCCUCCCGCUCAACGGGAGAACGGCCUCGGAUACGGGCGGCCUGGAGGGGGGUAGGGGCAGGCGGAACGCUGGGUGGAGCGGUGAAAUGCGUUGAUAUCCAGCGGAACUCCGGUGGCGAAGGCGGCCUGCUGGAUCCUCACUGACGCUGAGGCGCGAAAGCCAGGGGAGCGAACGGG